AUGGAUCUCCUCUCCGCCGCCUACGGCGCCACCUCCGACGACGACGCCGACGCCGCCCCGCCUCCCAGCUGGUCCGCCACGGCCCUCCCCUCGGUCGCCCCGCCUCCCCCGAAGCGGCCGCGGUGGGAAUCUCCCCCGUACCCUGGGUACCCACCACCACCUCCCCUCCCCUCCCCGCGACCGGCCCCACCCCAAGCCGCGCCGCCGCCACUGGCUGGCAGAAGGUACGUCUCCAAGAGGGAGCGCGCCCUCCUGGCGGCAUCCCAGCCUCCCGUGGGCUCCGCGGCACUGCUUCCUCCGCCGGUGGCGCCGGAGUUCGACUCCCCAGUUGUUGGAUCUUUUGCUGAUUCAAAUAUUCGAGCUGAUGUUUUGCAUUCUUUACGGUGCCAACCAAAGCCUGGAUCAAACAGCAGUUCACCUUUGAAGCUCUCAGUGUCUUUGAUGGGUCACACUAAAGCAGUCAAUUGUGUGGAUUGGUCACCGAGCCAUGGACAUCUUCUUGCUUCUGCUGGAAUGGAUCAUACAGUCCGCGUAUGGAACGUUUGGAACAGAGGGGAUACUACUGCUCGAGUUUUAAAACAUCAUACUGCUGCUGUAAAGGAUGUGAAGUGGUCCCAUCAUCGGCCCUUCUUACUUUCCGGGGGGCUUGAUUGUUCCUCACGACUAGUUGACCCCGAGGUGGGAAAAGAAAUCACGGUAUUCAAGGAGGAUCAACCAGUGGAGGUCAUCAAGUUCAGUCCAAGCAACUCAAAUCUCUUCCUGUCUGGUGGUUCCAAGGGUUCUCUUAGGCUCUGGGAUAUUCGAACUGGCUUGACAACUAAAGAGUUCAACAGAAGUCUUGGCACCAUCCUCGACCUUGAUUUCAGUGCUGAUGGGAAGCAGUUUAUCUCUUCAACCGACACAACCAGAAGUAAUGUUAGUGAGAACACUAUAAUUGUAUGGGAUAUAUUACGAGAAGUUCCUCUAUCUAACCAGGUUUAUACAGAAGCAUUCACCUGUCCCUGUGUGAGAUACCACCCAUACGAAGCUUCUUUUGUCGCGCAAUCCAACGGCAACUACAUCGCUAUUUUCUCAGCAAGGCCGCCAUUCAAGCUAAACAGGUACAGGCGGUUCGAAGGACAUGGAGUGUGGGGCUUUCCGAUAAAGUGCAGUUUCUCUUUGAGCGGGAGGGAGCUUGCAUCUGGUUCGUCCGAUGGCUGCAUCUACUUUUAUGACUAUAAGUCCUCGAGGUUUCUGAGAAAGAUCGAAGCCUUCAAAGAAGCGUGCACUUAUGUUGCAUACCACCCUGUACUACAUAAUGUGAUUGCUUCAUGUGGGUGGACUGGUGAAAUAUCUGUUUUCGAAUGA
rnacentral:rRNA from 1 species